rnacentral:rRNA from 1 species
UUGACCUCAGAUCAGGUAGGAAUACCCGCUGAACUUAAGCAUAUCAAUAAGCGGAGGAAAAGAAACCAACAGGGAUUGCCCUAGUAACGGCGAGUGAAGCGGCAACAGCUCAAAUUUGAAAUCUGGCGCAAGCCCGAGUUGUAAUUUGUAGAGGAUGUUUCUGGCGACGUGCCUUCCGAGUUCCCUGGAACGGGACGCCAUAGAGGGUGAGAGCCCCGUACGGUUGGUUGCCUAGCCUCUGUGAAACUCCUUCGACGAGUCGAGUAGUUUGGGAAUGCUGCUCUAAAUGGGAGGUAUACGUCUUCUAAAGCUAAAUACCGGCCAGAGACCGAUAGCGCACAAGUAGAGUGAUCGAAAGAUGAAAAGCACUUUGAAAAGAGGGUUAAAUAGUACGUGAAAUUGUUGAAAGGGAAGCGUUUAUGACCAGACUUGAGCAGGUUGAUCAUCCGUGGUUCUCCGCGGUGCACUCUGCCUGUUCAGGCCAGCAUCAGUUUGGUUCGGGGGAUAAAGGCUUCGGGAAUGUAGCUCCCUCGGGAGUGUUAUAGACCGUUGCGUAAUACCUUGAUCCGGACUG